rnacentral:lncRNA from 12 species
CCUCUGUCUCUAAGCUUCAUGUUUUCCAUCAGCAUCUAUGAAACUGCAUCAGGUUAACCAGUUAGCUAGAAAUAUGGUACAAUCUCCAACUCUUCACUGUUUCCAAUACAGUAAAAGGAGGUAACAUGACACUCAUCUCAAACUGUUAUGAAGUUUAUAACAAUUUGGAAGUCUGUAAAAACCUCAAAAAGUUACCUUAUACAGAGUCCAUAGCAUGUGUUCCUUAGAGCAAACAGAAAACCUUAAUUAAAGGAUGUAAUUUCAUGUCUCAAAAAUAUCUUCUCUCACAUGACUCCUAAGACUCAUAUAUGCAUAUCCUUAUAUUCAAAGAGACCUCAAGAAUACAUAUAAAUUUAAUAUGUAGCUGGCACUUCAGUAUUUUCAUUAUUCCCAUAUUAAAGGCUCUAUUUUGAAACUGAUGGACUUUCAUUGGAAAUCCCUCAUUAUUUACCAGUUUUGUGGGCUUUACAGAAUUUAUUUAACCUCCAUAUUGGCCAAACAGUAAGUUUAAUUUUCUAUGGCUGAAUUUAAUUUCUUUUACAAGAUCCAUUCCAUGAGAUGUUAAAAAAACAAACUACGAAUCUUCCAUUAAUUCAAGUUCUUGCCACUUAAAUUCUUCAGUACCAUCUCAGCGCUGGAGAUCUCUACAGUCUUGCUAAGGGACUUGCAGAGAGACGGUCUUCAGCUGUAAGCUGUGCACACAGACAGACAGAGCUAUAUGUUACUCAGCAGUGGAUCUAGGUUUUGUCUGUACUGAGUCACUGGUGCAGACAUUUCAGGUCCAGGCAACUUUCUUGGUUAGUUCUGCAACUUCCACAUCUUCUCCUCCUCACCUGAGAGGCCCUGUGAAGAUUUGUCUGGUCUGCUCUUCUGGAACUCUAAGAAGCUUAAGAGAGUUGUGACAUGCUCCAUCUCUGUGUUUUCUAUGGAUCAGGAAAAAUCAUACUAUUUGCAAUGCUAAAGACACAUGAAUAUGGUAUGAGGUCAACAAGUUACAUUUGGUCAUCUACCUAGACAUACCAUGCUAACAAUUCUUCUACUGUGGUUUGAUGGUGAGCUUAGAGGAACUUUUCGCUCUUGCAAUUUUUUUUUUAUAAAUUUAUUUUUUAUUGGUGUUUAAUUUGCCAACAUAUAGAAUAACACCCAGUGCUCAUCCCGUCAAGUGCCCCCCUCAGUGCCCGUCGCUCUUGCAAUUUCUCCAUGUCUAACUGCAUAACACGGCACGGGUGCACUAGAUCUUUGAACCUACAACUUUUACUUUUUAAAAUCGUCUCCACUUUGUUGGGGUCAUCUAAAAAUUAGAAGAAUACAGGGCAAAAGAACCUCUCAAGUCUCUCAGGCCUUUCCUUGGGGGUAAAGCUUAGACUUUUGAAGCCUCAUUCUACUUCUUAAUUUCUAUGUAACCUGAAAAAGAUAGCUUAUUUCAGGCUUGUGUAAGGUUUUUAUAAAACCAUGGAUAUGGCUUUAUAAAAAUGUAUGAUCAUAGCACAUAUAUCCUAAAUGAAAUAAUGUAAGAUUUUUAAAAAGAUUUAUUUAUUUGAGAGAGAGAGCACAAGCACACGAACAAUGGGAGGGUGGGCAGAGAGAGGGGAGAAUCUCUAGCAGACUCCCUACUGAGUGCAGAGCCCUAUGCUGCUGGAUUCCAGAACCCUGAGAUCAUGGACAGUGGGGAAAUCAAGAGUCAGAUGCUGAACUGACAAAGUCACCCAGAUGCCCCUAAUGUAAGAUAUUUUAAAAACUCAGUAUUAUAGAAUAAAAAAUCAAAACAAAAUUAACUACUACUAGUU